rnacentral:rRNA from 1 species
UGCUACUUUUGCCGGCGAGCGGCGGACGGGUGAGUAAUGCCUGGGAAAUUGCCCAGUCGAGGGGGAUAACAGUUGGAAACGACUGCUAAUACCGCAUACGCCCUACGGGGGAAAGCAGGGGACCUUCGGGCCUUGCGCGAUUGGAUAUGCCCAGGUGGGAUUAGCUAGUUGGUGAGGUAAUGGCUCACCAAGGCGACGAUCCCUAGCUGGUCUGAGAGGAUGAUCAGCCACACUGGAACUGAGACACGGUCCAGACUCCUACGGGAGGCAGCAGUGGGGAAUAUUGCACAAUGGGGGAAACCCUGAUGCAGCCAUGCCGCGUGUGUGAAGAAGGCCUUCGGGUUGUAAAGCACUUUCAGCGAGGAGGAAAGGUCGGUGGCUAAUAUCCGCUGGCUGUGACGUUACUCGCAGAAGAAGCACCGGCUAACUCCGUGCCAGCAGCCGCGGUAAU